GUCAUCUUCUCUCAACCCAUAUUAACUAGCACUACAGGUCAUCUUCUCUCAACCCAUCUUAACUAGCACUACAGGUCACCUUCUCUCAACCCAUCUUUACUAGCACUACAGGUCAUCUUCACUCAACCCAUCUUAACUAGCACCACAGGUCAUCUUCUCUCAACCCAUCUUUACUAGCACUACAGGUCAUCUUCUCUCAACCCAUAUUAACUAGCACUACAGGUCAUCUUCUCUCAACCCAUCUUAACUAGCACUACUGGUCAUCUUCACUCAAUCCAUCUUAACUAGCACCACAGGUCAUCUUCUCUCAACCCAUCUUUACUAGCACUACAGGUCAUCUUCUCUCAACCCAUAUUAACUAGCACUACAGGUCAUCUUCUCUCAACCCAUCUUAACUAGCACCACAGGUCAUCUUCUCUCAACCCAUCUUUACUAGCACUACAGGUCAUCUUCUCUCAACCCAUAUUAACUAGCACUACAGGUCAUCUUCUCUCAACCCAUCUUAACUAGCACUACUGGUCAUCUUCACUCAAUCCAUCUUAACUAGCACCACAGGUCAUCUUCUCUCAACCCAUCUUUACUAGCACUACAGGUCAUCUUCUCUCAACCCAUAUUAACUAGCACUACAGGUCAUCUUCUCUCAAUCCAUCUUAACUAGCACUACUGGUCAUCUUCACUCAAUCCAUCUUAACUAGCACUACAGGUCAUCUUCUCUCAACCCAUCUUAACUAGCACUACAGGUCAUCUUCUCUCAACCCAUCUUAACUAGCACUACAGGUCAUCUUCUCUCAACCCAUCUUAACUAGCACCACAGGUCAUCUUCACUCAACCCAUCUUAACUAGCACUACAGGUCACCUUCUCUCAACCCAUCUUAACUAGCACUACAGGUCAUCUUCUCUCAACCCAUCUUAACUAGCACUACAGGUCAUCUUCUCUCAACCCAUCUUAACUAGCACUACAGGUCAUCUUCUCUCAACCCAUCUUAACUAGCACUACAGGUCAUCUUCUCUCAACCCAUCUUAACUAGCACCACAGGUCAUCUUCACUCAACCCAUCUUAACUAGCACUACAGGUCAUCUUCUCUCAACCCAUCUUAACUAGCACUACUGGUCAUCUUCACUCAAUCCAUCUUAACUAGCACUACAGGUCAUCUUCUCUCAACCCAUCUUAACUAGCACUACUGGUCAUCUUCUCUCAACCCAUCUUAACUAGCACUACUGGUCAUCUUCUCUCAACCCAUCUUAACUAGCACUACUGGUCAUCUUCUCUCAACCCAUAUUAACUAGCACUACUGGUCAUCUUCUCUCAACCCAUCUUAAC